rnacentral:rRNA from 1 species
ACAAACGACUCUCGGCAACGGAUAUCUCGGCUCACGCAUCGAUGAAGAACGUAGCAAAAUGCGAUACUUGGUGUGAAUUGCAGAAUCCCGUGAACCAUCGAGUUUUUGAACGCAAGUUGCGCCCGAAGCCAUUCGGCCAAGGGCACGUCUGCCUGGGCGUCACGCA